GAUGAACGCUGACGGCGUGCCUAAUACAUGCAAGUCGAGCGAACGGACGAGAAGCUUGCUUCUCUGAUGUUAGCGGCGGACGGGUGAGUAACACGUGGAUAACCUACCUAUAAGACUGGGAUAACUUCGGGAAACCGGAGCUAAUACCGGAUAAUAUUUUGAACCGCAUGGUUCAAAAGUGAAAGACGGUCUUGCGGUCACUUAUAGAUGGAUCCGCGCUGCAUUAGCUAGUUGGUAAGGUAACGGCUUACCAAGGCAACGAUGCAUAGCCGACCUGAGAGGCUGAUCGGCCACACGGGAACUGAGACACGGUCCAGACGCCUACGGGAGGCAGCAGUAGGGAAUGUUCCGCAAUGGGCGAAAGCCUGACGGAGCAACGCCGCGUGAGUGAUGAAGGUCUUCGGAUCGUAAAACUCUGUUAUUAGGGAAGAACAUAUGUGUAAGUAACUGUGCACAGCUUGACGGUACCUAAUCAGAAAGCCACGGCUAACUACGUG
rnacentral:rRNA from 1 species